rnacentral:miRNA from 1 species
UAUACAACUUACUACUUUCCCU